rnacentral:lncRNA from 1 species
GAAGGUUAUAGAGACUUUGAACAGGAAUUUGAUGCAUAGUGGAGGUUUGCAGAAUUCCUGGAAAACAAAACAACAAAACUGGAGAAUCUGUUAGAAAGGAUUCAUGUGAGGAGAAGCUAGAAUAUUAGAAAGGAUGCCAUCAGGAUGCCUACUGCCACUCCUGGACAGCGGACAUGGUGCCUACAAGACUUCGUCCUGACUCUGUUCAGCCCCAUCCCUGUCAUUGCUGCAGCUCACUGCAUUUGAUCAUGGCCAGUAAUCAUGCCUGCAUCCUAACUAGAAAGAAAUAUCGCUGAGCCAGAGUA